CUAUCGCGACAUCCGUUGUGGGUCCCAUACCCAUUGUGACAUCACCUGUGGGUCCUCACUUACUGUGACACUCCUGUGGGUCCCACAGCCAUGGCAACAUCCCUAUAGGUCCCACAAGUGUUGAGACAUCCCCAUGGGUGACAAGAUCCAGCAUCCCAUUCCUGAAUUCUCCAGAAUUCUAGGUUCAAUUUCACAACCCAUUCCACUCUGGCCAGGUGUGGUAAAUGGUCAGGGUUUAAUGUUCACCCCCUAUACCUCCCUCCUUCCUUCCCUCCUAAACAUCCCAGGCUAAAGGGGAAACCCAUCUCCUCUCUUCCCUCUGUGCUGGCUUCCUGCUGACAUCAUAACAUACCUUCAUGAGGUACUAGGGGUUGUUCCACAUCAAGGGGGGUGUCCCACAUCAAGGAGGGUCCCUGAGCCACUUCCCAGCAAGGGCUGGGGUCUGUGGGGUCUCCCCUCUGUGUAGCUGUUCAGAGCCAGGGCAGAGCAGCUCUGGUGCCACACAGCAGGGAAAGGAGAAGGAAAUGUCCCUUUUGGAAGUGAGCAAGGAAGAGAGGAAGACAGAAUUCCUAUGCACAGAUGGCAGCUUUCAAAUGCAGCCUGGUCUGGUUUCAGAGAGCAGAAAGAACAACCUCUAAUGCACUGUUCAUUUGCUGCAGGGCAGCUUCCAGACUUUGAGAGAACAGCAGAAGAGGACACUUGAAUAAAAUUCUGAGUGCGGGUUCAGCCUUUUCAUAGCAAUCUUUCCUGUCUAACUCUUGCUUCCAGCUCUCUGCUGGCUCAUCCUGCUGAAAAUGUAUUUUGGGCCUCAUUGUCCAGUGGAAAGGACAGUUUAUGUGAAAAAUCGGUGCACUGGAGGACUGAGAGGGCAAGAACAUUUGUUUCAAAUGGAUUUCCCACUCUGGUUGAUGUUCAGCUUCCCUCUCAAAGGACUUUGCAGUUUCUGUCUGUGAACAUCAGAAGAAAAAGACUUCCAGGAGAACUGGGGAGAAAGGAAAUCUGGGCACCAGCAAUCAAUCACUUGUUUUCACAAGGCUGCAAAGGGAACUGGCAUCUGCGUAAGCACUUUGCAGUAAAUAGCUGCCUCAUUUUACAUUGGAAGUCAGCAAGCAUUGUGGCACAUAGAACUGUGAACAACAGAGGGAAACAACAAAAAUAAUAAUUACUUACCCAGACAGAAAACAACCAAUUGGUUGAGUUGCCAAGUGGUCAAAGUGUUUCUAUUGGGGGAAAACAGAGUGUUUUACAUCCUUCAGCCAAUUUAGAAUAUAUGUUAAGAAUAUGUUUGAAAAGGAAAGCAGGAGACUGAUGAAAUCUACCCCUGAGCUGGGCAGCUUUACCAGUGUGGGCAUUUUUUCCAUUAUGUUAGAACUGGGGCAGAAGCUGUUGAGUGGAUGGGGUUAUAACUGCUGCUUUUCACUAACUUCGGUGGGAAAAUUCUCUAAAACGUUGGUUCCACAGGGUGCAAAUGCUGAGUCAAUGAAAUGCAUUUAACACCUUGAAGAAAUAUUGUUCACUGAUUUAGAAAAGGAAACAGGAAAUUAACCUCAUAUUCUAAUCAUUAAACCAUUGAAGUUGGGUAGAAAAGAGUUUGCUCCUGACCCUCAAUUCAUAUGUUUAUUUAUUUCUUAAUUAUUUUAAACGUUAGCAAUGGCUUGUGGCAUAAAAUGCAUUGUGCAGAGUCAUGUGAUGAGAUGAUACAACAGCAUGGUGUAGUCCCAUCAAGACUGAUGACAUCAUGGCAAGGGAGGGCCAGUCAAUAUGUCCAAGGGCAGGGCUGCCAUUCAGAGGAGAAAGAGACCCACAGGGGCCCCACACAAUCCAGGCAGGAGCCAUGGGCAGCACUGCCUUGAGUGGCAAAGCCCUGGAAAUGAUGUUGGAUGGGAAUCAAAGAAAGCCCAUCUGCCCAAAUGCCAUCAUCUCUCAGGAAUAAAUACCUCCACGUGAGCAAUCACUUUGAAGAUCUGAUUCUUGUAACAGACUACCAAAGCACUGACCUCACACGUUCCAUAGUGGAAGCUGCUAUAACCGGCUGUUUCGAGAACAAGCAAGCCAGGCAAACCAAGAAGCUGAAAGUGUGAUGCAAAUUGAAUUUUAUGAGACGUUCAGAUGCCAUCCAGCGAAUAGCAACAAAAUUCUCAGUAAGAAAAAAUGAACAACAAAGUAAGGAAGUAAAGAGCUGUUAUUGGAAGAUCCUUUUGGGAGGAAGGAACUUCUGACUCCUGCAAAAGAUAAGUUAUAUGUUCUGAUCAUGAAAAGGUAAGUUCAAUGUGGAAAGUUGCCAGGUGAAUUCAAAGGAGGUUAGACUUGACAAAGGAUGAGUGCAGCAUUUCAAGUCCCGUAGUGAUCAACUAUUGUAUUUCCUGAGCUGUAUUACCAGCAAAUUUUACUGAGUUUACAUCCAGAACAUAUCACUAUGCCAGGGAAGAGCUUUUAGUGUUCCCAAAAUGUUGCUGCAAAGGCUCUGUUUCAACUAGUCAAUAUCUUUUGAGAAAAAAGAAUAGACAGGCAGGAAUUCAGAAAGAUUCCUGACAAAGUCCUGCUGCACAGUCAAAGUAUUUUAAGAGAUUGACUACUUCCUAUUGAAAAAAUACGGUGUUGUUAAAUGUAUUAUCUAAGCAAAAUGUAGAUUUAAAGUAAAUAUAUUAUUCCCAAUCUCUUUGGAAAAACAUGCCUCUUUCUGUCCCUGGUCUGCACUGUUUAAUAUCAAUGGGAAAACUGAAAAAAAAGCAGCACCAAGCUGUUCUAUGAAGAAAUUUUAUUAAGGGAUGCAGAAGGAAAAACUUUCUGCUCAGCCAAAUAUGAGAAUUUUUGAACAUAUACAAAGAAAUGACCAAAUUAUUCCUGAGAGGUAUUUAUGUGUUUUGUGAAGGGAAUCAAUUUCUGCAAUGUGUUGACAGCGGCUUAUUUGUUGUUGAUACAUUUAAAAGGGCACUUGAGAGACAAUUGACUACAUUGACUGCAGAGGAAAAAUUUAUUACCUGUAGCACAAGAUGGGGAGGAUUGCAGGUAGUUGAAAUAUUGGCUAUUUUGAAUGGACUCACAGUCCAUCUUUUUAAGCCAUUACUAAUGGGAAUUUAGGUUGCAGCUGUGUGUGAAAUGAAUUUAUUGGCCUUCUUUCUGCAAUAUCCCAGCUCUGUGCUAACUGGGUAAUGGUUUCUUACUAAAGCUGAAUCUUCAACAGGGAUAUGUGAGGUGCUGGAGAAAGUGUCUGAAUUCCAGCAUGGUGCAGCUCCAGGAACUGGUGUGCCCAAGGCUCUCUUUGCUGUCAAGACAGUUAACCAGACAAGAUUAAUGAUACUGGUGGGCCUGGAGUAUUCUUGAAAAAUAUGGCUUCUCCUACCGUCCCAUUUUAAACAUCAUUUUGGAUUUUAAUCACUUGCAGAAGGUGCUUUUGCUUCUCAUCCACCUCUGACAAAAACAUCCCUCCUAGAUGUACAGCACAUGAGAUAUGUGGUAUGGGUCAAUCUGCAAGUCAUUUCACUGCUGUUUCCCACUACUCAUCAAUAAAAUAAAAAAUAAAUUAA